GCUGGCGGCGUGCUUAACACAUGCAAGUCGAGCGGUAAGGCCCGUUUCGGGGGUACACGAGCGGCGAACGGGUGAGUAACACGUGGGUGACCUGCCCUCAGCUCUGGGAUAAGCCUGGGAAACUGGGUCUAAUACCGGAUAUGACUCCAUGACGCAUGUCGUGGGGUGGAAAGCCUUGUGCGGCUGGGGAUGGGCCCGCGGCCUAUCAGCUUGUUGGUGGGGUGAUGGCCUACCAAGGCGACGACGGGUAGCCGGCCUGAGAGGGCGACCGGCCACACUGGGACUGAGACACGGCCCAGACUCCUACGGGAGGCAGCAGUGGGGAAUCUUGCGCAAUGGGACGAAAGCCUGACGCAGCGACGCCGCGUGAGGAUGAC
rnacentral:rRNA from 1 species